rnacentral:lncRNA from 1 species
UUUAUGUUGGCCAAAAUUGAAUGACUGUUGUGUGACAGAAAAAUAACUUUUGUGCGAUAAAUUUUGAGAUUAACUUAUAUGCAGUGAUAGUACAAUAUUUUCUUUAUACUAUCAGGUAACUUUACUUGAAAUAGCAGGUUACCCACUAUUUUUAGUUAUAUUUACAGUUUUUUUCUUUUUCAUUUUUGAACUCCCCCUGCUUCCUCCACA